UCCAGGGCAAGGCCAGUUCAGGCACCCUCUCUAUUGCUUAGUGCACCCAGCUUUUUAUGUGUGUCCUGGGUAUCCGAACUCAGGUUCUCAGACUUGUGUGGCAACCACUUGUCCCACUGAGCUAUUGUCUCAGCAUUUCUUAUCUUGUAAGGCCAUCACAAAAGUCGUAUCAAAUCAGAACAGAAGGACUCUAUCAACCAACAUACUCUCCUCCCUAGGAAGUUGCCUGCUUGCACGUAUUCAAAUGGAGCUCUGCAAGUAACCGAAUGAAUACCUGCUCAGGAAGCAACCAACGGAGCAGGGUUAUGUUCUUUGCAUCUGAUGAUGUGUGUACUCGGUGAGGAGGACUUUGCUCAGUGUCAGUUCAGCGCGGAAGCUUGUUACAGGCUGUUCCAGCAGGGUCUGACCUGUGCUCCGCGUGCGGGAAUUCGGGGAUUGCAAGGAUCAUCAGAGUUCAGUAGGCUCACAUUUCCCAACGCCAUGACCUUGAGGGAAUUACUGACCUGUUGCAUUGUAGCUCAUCUCUCCAUCCGCUAAAAUGGUAAGCUGAUAAUGUGUGUUUACGAUGUCAGUUGUAUAACUGGCACAGCACCAAAUGAAUGUCUUAUGCUCGCAUGCUGAGGUUUUUGGAGUUUGAGGGUGACUAUUACACAGCACAGUCACAAGACAAGGGUCUUGAUGCUCUGUGUGUGCACCUAGGCAUGCAUAUAGCACAUAUGACAUGUGAUGGAGAAUGAGGGAGGGCCCCCUGUGUGCACAAGUCUGCGGACUUGGAUGUUAGCGACAUGAUCCUAAUGUCUUUGAAGGUUGAACACCGUCGUUCUCCUGUUUUGUUUCGGCAUCCCACACCUGGAAACCUCUGUCCAGACGGGAGUGAUGCUCUUGGCUUUAGAGGUCGUCAGAGGGGACACGGGCACCAGCCAGCUACAGGGUCCCCAUAAACUCUAGGGGACUCAAAGGAGGGGGAGAAGGGCUCAGUCCAGGGUCCCCUCUUUCCACAAACCCCAAGGCCCCAGAGCCUGAUCUGUUUAGAUCAAACUUUGAGAAAAAGAUGGUGACUGUAUUUCUUUAUGGCAAGCGUGCCUCAAGGCCUGUGGGAAAGUGUGACAAUUCAUUGAUAUGUUUAAAUUGAGUCUCGUGGGGAUCAAAUGAGACCUGUCAGAAAAUUGGUUUUGUUUGGAUAUAAAGCAGUAUUCUUGUUAUUAAACACUUUAAGGUAUUCCUCCACUUAUCAGAAUUCCUAAUUUUUCUUUAAAGAAAAAAAAGGAAACGGAAAUCACCCCAGUGACUCUAAUAAUUGGGUAGCAGGCAAACAUAGUUAUGGCUCAAGUUUUUAAAAGUAUUAAGCACACUUGUCCACAAACAUCUCUCUUACUGCCAGGACUCGGUCGCUUUAACACCACUCAAAGGCUCAUAAAUUACUUAAAAGUGCGCGUUCUGCACUUUUCCCCAGAAAUCUGGGUGGACGGCCAUGUAAAUGGUGGGUAGCGCUGAUGAAUUACACCUUCCUUCCUGUCGCAAGACUGAGUUUCCUAUUAUUAAACGGUCAUGUGCCAAGACUCUCCGUGGCCUGAUGGGCAAUUAAAUCCCAAAGGACUUCAAAGGCCGGUCUUCACCACUUCCCCUUCUUUUCGAUGCCUUCAUAACAACGGUCUCGAAUUCCUUGGGAAAGUUACAAUGCAGUUCAUUUGAAGUCAGCGUUGGAUAAUUAUAAAAUAUUGUUCUGCAAUUUCCUUGAAGAAAGGACCUUCAUUUUGAGGAGCAGCUGUGGCAGUCACUGGAGAAGCGGGCGGUACAAUGAGAUGCAGCAGCGGCUUUGCUAGCAUUGUCGAGAAAGCAGCGACUCUGGCCGUAGGAGAUAUUUUAAUUCAGCUCCAUUGUUUCGAAGGUAGACUUGCAUACCUCAGAGGGGAAAACUCCACCGUGAGUCCCGUGCCACAAGCCUAAAAGUCUUCUAAUGCACAUGACUGCGUAAACAAAGGGGACCAGGAGCAAAGGAGCCGCUCUGGGAAGUCAGUCACUCAUAGUCUGGGAGCUGGGAUUUUCCAUUGCCCCCGAUUGUUGCUCUGGCUGCAGUGCCCGCCCUGCCCUUUGGUCUCCUGGAGGGAAAAGUACCCAGAUUUCCUCUUAUGAUCCAAACAAACCCAUGGAGGAAGAUCCCCAACUGCUGCUGUCCACCCUGCACUGAAGGCUCAGAGUGUCGGCUGCCCAGACCUGUGGUCGGUGGAGGGACUGUGUGGUACCAGAAAGAACAUGGAAGAACAUGAUUUGCAAGUUGAAGCCUGGAAAUUCCUCCUCCAAGCCUUACCACUGCUGGGACAGGAAACUCACAGGCUGUCCCUUCUGCCUGAAAACACCAACCCCUCGUAGACACUCACCCAGUUCACAAUCCAGGCAGUCGUCACCAUCCCACGGGAGUGUAGUUGUGCCUCCAUCUGUGAAGCAUGUCCCUGUCCGCAGACUGCUGUGUAAGCAGCGGAACCAGGAAGACAGAAAUCUGUGUGACAGGACCUUGUGUUCCAGCACCAUUCCCAGGAGACUCCUGGCUAAAGGUCUGCUUUCUGAAUGUCACUGGAACCAGAGCAACCCGAAGAGUCUCUGCAUGGGGAGCCUUUGGAGUUAAAUUUCACAUUGACCUGAAGAAAGUUCGUGUUGCUUUUGCCAGACAUCUCGCCAUGUGGAUCUGCCAUCUUCUCACCUGAAGGGACGAGGGGCCUACUGAUGUGCCACAGUGACCUUGAAGGUGACAAGAACAUCGCCCAUUCCUGGAAUCUCGUGACAGCUGCUUCUAGCACAGAGUGAAGCUGUCCACCUGAUCCAUCCCCCAGAUGGCAGGAAGCUUAUGGAAACAUCAGAGAACACCAGUAAACACGUAAACACUCCCACCCACGUGCUCCUGUUUUAACAAAGGGAGAAGACUGCCCUAUGCCUGGCCAGACCUGCCCCGUGUUGCUCCUUGCACGCUGUGUAGAAGCAGCCUUUCUCCCCUGCAUUCCUCACCUUUGCCCCUCUUCUGAUACGCUCACUAAUAAACCCAGCAGGGUAUUUCCUAGCGAGGAAUGGUACUAGCCUGCAGCCACACAUUUUAGGAUUACGAUCUCUGGUCACUCCCUCUCUGUGAUCACGUGUGUGACCCACUACAGACAAUCACCUUCACCUGUCUACCUGCUCUGGUUGAGAUCCAUCAGAAAGUAAAUGCCUUUGGGGGUCUUGGUUGCAUGUA